UACGUAGGGUGCAAGCGUUAAUCGGAAUUACUGGGCGUAAAGCGUGCGUAGGUGGUGAGUUAAGUCUGUCGUGAAAGCCCCGGGCUCAACCUGGGAAUGGCGAUGGAUACUGGCUCGCUAGAGUGCGGUAGAGGAGAGUGGAAUUCCCGGUGUAGCAGUGAAAUGCGCAGAUAUCAGGAGGAACACCGGUGGCGAAGGCGGGUCUCUGGGCAACUACUGACGCUGAGGAGCGAAAGCGUGGGGAGCGAACAGG
rnacentral:rRNA from 1 species